ensembl:lncRNA
CUGCCACAAGUACUGCUGAGGUUCAUUCAUGAAGUGAAUAUUCGAAGUGUGAUUUCAGAGGCGAGAGGAAGCCUCCAGUAUCCCGCAAGGUCCUCUCCUCUAGCUCCCUUCUAGCUUCUCUGAUUCUGUCCCAAGUCCCGGGUUCUCUACAGAGACCCCAGGAAGGCGGGGACCCUUCACUUAUAACUCCAGAGGGGUCCUGCCUGAGAGCGCUGGGCUGGAUCGGGCAGCCCCCAAAGAUGCCAGGGGCGGGAGGAUGUAGAAGUGGGUGGCUGGUACUUGGUCUGCCUUAUGGGUUUACUAAGUCAGCCCUAAGCAGACAAAUUCCCAGGCUGCAUAGCCUUAUCUGUUUCACCUAUGUCCACUGCUCUGAAGCAGAGUUUAGACCAAGAGCUCAGGCCCUGGGGACCAUACCCAAGUCCUAAGCCCUGAGAUCCAAGGCUGUAAAGGGACAUUUGCCCUGGGGCCCCCAUGGUGACUUUCUCAAGCAAAUUCCCUCAUGAUCCCUAUAAAUCCCCUGACUUGCCCCAGCUGUGCCUCCAGGGGAGGAGCAGACUUCUUCUGUCCUCCUGAGAAAUUAGUAAGUUCCACUCCUGGUUCAGCCAUCUGACAGCAUUUUGUCCUUCCCUAGAGGGUAGUGGGCAAACACCUCUCCACUUCUUGACCAUGCACAUCCACCCCCGGCCACCCUGAGUCCAGGGGACCCAGAUGCAGAGAGAUGGGAAACCUUCUGGUUGCCCAUCUCCUCACAUGAAGGGUUUUCCUGGUGACUCAGUAGUAAGGAACCCGCCUGCCAAGGCAGGAGACACAAGAGACCAGGAUCAGUCGUUCGGUCAGCAAGAUCCAAUGGAGGAGAAAUGGCAACCCACUUCAAUAUUCUUGCCUGGAGAAUCCCAUAGUCAGAGGACCCUGGCGGGACUGCAAAGAGUCGAACACGACUGAGCGCACACAGACAUCAUGAAGACGAUCACUAUCUCAUCUCAGAGCAGAAGAGUGCAGAGGCCAAUACAUAAUGAGCAAUCAAUUUCUCAAUGAAACGGACAAUUGUCUUGGGUGGAGGGUGUGGAUUCUCCUGGGAGACCAGCUUCAUAAGACAAGUGGGGAGGGUGGGGCCACUGAUUACUGGGACCAGCCCAGCUCCCUUGCUUAUUUUUAAAGAAUAUUUGAAGAUUUAAAUCUAUGCUUUAAAUUUCCUUUUCUUCUCAUCUCAUUUACUCUCAUUGCUGAUUCUGCACUGUAAGUGGAGAGCUUUGCAGAUACUGUCAGGAGACUUGAACUCUGGGUUCUAAUUCCAUCUUUGAUUUGGGGACUUAAUUUGUGUGUCUGUAUGACAGACAUACAAAGCUGUCAGAUAGGAUAAUAAGUCCCCGUAUCUGAUCAGACCUCUUAGGAUCAAAGCUCGAAGCUUCUUUGAUCAACGGAAGGUGCUGUUAUUCCAUGACCACCUUGUGUUUGGUUGUUGCUGUUCAGUCACUCAGUCAUGUCUGACUCUGCAAUCCCAUAGACUGCAGCAUGCCAGGCUUCCUUGUCCCUCACUAUCUCCUGGAGUUUGCUCAAACUCAUGUCCAUUGAGUGGGUGAUGCCAUCCAACCAUCUCAUCCUCUGUUGUCCCCUUCUCCUCCUGCCUUCAAUCUUUUCCAGCAUCAGGGUCUUUUCGAAUGAGUCCAGGUGGCCAAAGAUUAGAACGUUAGCUUCAGCAUCAGUCCUUCCAAUGAAUAUUCAGGGUUGAUUUCUUUUAGGAUUGACUGGUUUGAUCUCCUUGCAAUCAAAGGGACUCUCAAGAGUCUUCUCCAACACCAAUUGAUUCAAAAAUAUCAAUUCUUUGGUGCUUAGCCUUCUUUAUGGUCCAACUCUCACAGCCAUACAUAACUACUGGAAAAACCAUAGCUUUGACUAUGCAGUCCUCAUGUUUGCAUUUGGUGUGAACCAACACUCCUAGAAGUAUUCACUGGAAGAGGACUUUGCUCUCAAGGCCAGUGGGGACACUCGACUUCUCUCAACCCUGGUCCUACAGGAGGAAGGGUGAUGGAGGAGGCUAGGACAGGAAGGUGACCUCUUCCAGGCUGGCCGGAACUGGCUGGAAUGUCCCUCCGGUGGUCAGAGGAGAUGAGUGUGGCCAUCAGCUGUGUUGCAAUGCCCUACUGCCCACUGGGACUCCGGCAGGAGUGCUGGCUACUCGCUACACAGUCCUGGCUUGCUGUUUUUCUACUUGGCCUCCCCACUUCUCGCCCAGUGUCCCACAGCGUCCUCUUCAUCUCUACUGGUGACAUCACUUGAGGAAAAGCCCAGAGUUGCCUUCAGCACUGUGGGCCUGACAAAACAGAAGAUGGGGGACUUCCCUGGUGGCUCAGUGGUGAAGAAUCUACAUGCCAGUGCAGGAGACAUUGGUUCAAUCCCUGAUCCAGGAGGAUCCCAUGUGCUGCAGAGCAACUAAGCCCAUGUCCCACAACUACUGAGUGUGUGCUCUCGAGCCUGGGAGCCCGCAACUACUGAGCCCAGGUGCCCUAGAGCCCCUGCUCCACACUAGAGAAGACACAACCAAAGAGUAGCCUCCACGCUCAGCAACUAGAGAAAAAGCCAUACAGCAAUGAAGACUCGGUGCUGUAAAAAAUAAAUCCUUUUUUUUUUUUUAAAAAGAAGACGGGGACCCAGUCCUGAGCAGGGGGCACUCGUCUCCCUGUGCUUGUCUGGGGAACCCUGGCUGAGCCGUACAGGGGUGCUGGUUUAGACCAGGUCAGGGCUGACGCCUGGGGAGUGGGGGCAGCUCCGCUCCAACCAUACAAGCACACGGCAUAACCUGGCAGGUCACCUCUUGCCCGUGGCCAGGAUGGCUCAGCCCGGUGCCCAGGAUCUGGGUCAGCGUCCCUGCCCCCUCCUCCCUCAUCAUGAGAUCCCAGAAGCCCUUUCUCUGCCACCAGAGCUGGGGUCUCUCUUUCCCACAAUCCCGUCCAGCCAACCAAGAUUCCUAGAAACAGAAUCUGUCUCUCAGGCUGCUUCCUUCUUCGGGGAAAUUGCUCUUUCCUGGUCUGGAGUCUCCUACAGACCCGCUGUCACCGGUCAACAGUGAGGAAGCAUAUUUCUGCUCCCUUCUGCGCCUGAUUCUGUACGGCCCCAGGACUCUGGGUGCCCUGAGUGAUGGGCUGAUGAGAACCUUUUAUAUCUGUGGUCAGCAGGGGUGGCAGCCCCAGCUUUCCCCUGUCCCCAGCUGUCCCUCCACACCUGCCAGCGCCUACUUGCCUGACCUGGUAAAGCCACGCCCACACCUGUGUUCCCCCAUUUACCAGGGGGAGAGGGUGAUAGUCUUCCUCACAGCUGCGCUCCCGUGUGCCAGGUGCCUUGAGAAGGGUUCUGAAGGUGACCUCAUCUCAUCCUCGCUGUUCACUCCCGCUCCCAGAUAAAGAAACUGAAGCUCAAGAGAAGUCACAAACCAGAGUCAUGGACAAGCCAGGGUUUUGGAUCUGGGCUUGCCAGACCACGAAGCCCAAACCCUUCUACCUCUCAUGGCAUCUGUCCAGAGCGGAGCGCAGAGCAGACGGCUAGCCCAGGUGCCAGGAGGACAGCAUCUCUCCUCCAUCUGUACUUACAGUGCUGAUUCUGCCGGCAUCUCAUUAGUGAAAACAGACAUUCUGGCUCUCAGCCCCAUCGCUCCCAAGAACUCAGUCCAGGCGCAAAGCCUUUGGUCUAGUGAUUCAGCAUUCAGAAGAUCUGCGGAACUCAGUAAACUGCUGCUGCUGCUGCUGCUGCUAAGUCACUUCAGUCGUGUCCGACUCUGUG